GGACCAAGGAGUCUAGCAUGUGCGCGAGUCAUUGGGAAUCACUAAACCUAAAGGCGCAAUGAAAGUGAAGGUCCGCCUUGCGCGGACCGAGGGAGGAUGGGCCGCGUCACGAUGCGGCCCCGCACUCCCGGGGCGUCUCGUUCUCAUCGCGAGAAGAGGCGCACCCAGAGCGUACACGCUGGGACCCGAAAGAUGGUGAACUAUGCCUGGUCAGGACGAAGUCAGGGGAAACCCUGAUGGAGGUCCGUAGCGAUUCUGACGUGCAAAUCGAUCGUCGGAACUGGGUAUAGGGGCGAAAGACUAAUCGAACCAUCUAGUAGCUGGUUCCCUCCGAAGUUUCCCUCAGGAUAGCUGGCGCUCGCGUAGCGAGUCUCAUCCGGUAAAGCGAAUGAUUAGAGGCAUUGGGGUCGAAACGGCCUCAACCUAUUCUCAAACUUUAAAUGGGUGAGAUCUCCGGCUUGCUCGAACGUGAAGCCGUGAGAUUUUCUCAAAGGAUCAGAGUGCCAAGUGGGCCACUUUUGGUAAGCAGAACUGGCGCUGUGGGAUGAACCAAACGCAGAGUUAAAGCGCCUAAAUUGACGCUUAUGGGAUACCAUGAAAGGCGUU
rnacentral:rRNA from 1 species